rnacentral:snRNA from 1 species
GGAUGUGAGAGCAAUCUGGCUGCGACAUCUGUCAUCCCAUUGAUCGCCAGGGUUGAUUCGGCUGAUCUGGCUGGCUAGGCGGGUGUCCCCUUCCUUCCUCACUGCUACAUGUGCGUCCCUCCCGAAGCUGCACGCUCGGUCGAAGAGGACGACCAUCCCCGAUAGAGGAGGACCGUUCUUCGGUCAAGGGUAUAUGAGUAGCUGCACUCCCCUGCUAGAACCUCCAAACAAGCGCUCAAGAGAGGCCCAUCUGAAGCAUCAGGCAGGUGACCUGUCUGCUCUGGUGCAGAUACCUUGGUGCAAAUCUGGUCCCUC